AAUACGUUCCCGGACCUUGCACACACCGCCCGUCAAGCCAUGGGAGUCGGGUGUACCUAAAGUCGGUAACCGCAAGGAGCUGCCUAGGGUAAAAUCGGUGACUGGGGCU
rnacentral:rRNA from 1 species